UUAGGAUUUGAUUAAGAUUUGGUUAAGGUUUUUUUAGGUUUAUUUAGGAUUUUAUUAGAAUUUUUUAGGAUUUUUUUAGGAUUUUACUAGAAUUUAUUUAAGAUUGAUUAAGAUUUGGUUAGGAUUUGACUAAGAUUUGAUUAAUAUUUGGUUAGAAUUUGAUUAGGAUUUGAUUAGAAUUUGGUUAGGAUUUUAUUAGAAUUUGAUUAGGAUUUAUUUAGGAUUGACUAGGAUUUGGUUAGGAUUUAAUUAGGAUUUGAUUAGGAUUUGGUUAAGGUUUGUUUAAAAUUUGAUUAGGUUCUAUUUAGGAUUUUUUAGGAUUUGACUAAGAUUUGAUAGAAUUUGUUUAAGAUUUGACUAAGAUAUAUUUAAGAUUUAUUAGAAUUUAAUUAGGAUUUGAUUAGGAUUUGAUUAAGAUUUGACUAUGAUUUAUUUAGGAUUUGAUUAAGGUUUGACUAAUAUUUAAUUAAGUUUUUUAUUUUAAUAUUUUAUUAAAAUUUCUAUAUUAGUUUAUUCUUUAAUUCCUAUAUUAUUUCUUUAUAAUUUCUUUAAAGGAUCUUUAGGAAUACU
rnacentral:lncRNA from 1 species